UCAGCUUCUUCUCUUACCCCUGUGAAGGGGUCGUCAUACGUCUCUCUAUCCGCAUGAAACUUGCUUCACCUCCUCCUCAACCCGCCUUCUUCUUUGUUCCAGCACCGCUGCACGCUACCUCCAAUCUUUUCUCCUCCUUCGUCGUUCGUGCAAGCCGCCACCAUCACGCCUGUAGACCGUCGGCCAUCUCAAUCCCACUUCCUUCUCUCUUCGCGCCGUGCACCAGACCCGAGCCGACCCGAGCCAUCUCCUCUUUCUAGUCGAGCCUCACUUGUUUCUCCCUUGUUCACCGUCGUUCGAAUCACUUGGUGUUCUGCCGCUUUUUCCUCGUUGUAAGUUUUGUGGUGUUAGCGCUCGAAUUUCUAGGAUUUCCGACAAGCUUGAUUUGGAGUCCGUUUUGCCAUUUACUUGGGUUGGUUCGUUGGAUCUUGAUACUGGUUAAGGAGCACAACUAAAUCAAAGGUAAGGGCAUCGUACGAGGCAGACCGGCGAGGGGCAAGAAGGAUACGUGAAGGCCAUAUGGGAAUGUCAAGUUUUAUUGCUUCUGGUAGGGGUACAGCGAGGGGCAGACCGACGAGAGGCAGGAAGGAUGCGUGAAGGCCAUAUGGACGCGUCUGGUUUUCUUAAUCGCUUCCGCUAUGUAUUUUGUCUGAAUAUUUUGACUUGUGAUUUUGAACUGGUGCCUUGAUAUUUUUAUUUUGUGACUUUCUUGAUUUAUUCGAAAUAGGGCCCGAAACUGUUUUUUUUGUAAGGUUUCUAAUGUUUUAAUGAAUCGUAACUGGUCUGUUUUAAA